ensembl:lncRNA AMZ2P1 AMZ2 pseudogene 1
GUGGCGCCAGUGGGCGUGGCGUAGUGCGAAGAGACGCGGUGCGCACGCGCGUGAGGGAUGUCGCGGGAUCUCUAUGAAGCACCAGAAUUAUCAGUGAAGAAUAUAUUAAAUGGCUCACGGGCUACUGUAAAGCAUAUUUCUAUCGCUUGAGAGUAAAACUGCUAGAACCAGUUCCUGUUUCUACAACAAGGUGUUCCUUUAGAGUCAAUGAGAACACACAAAACCUACAAAUUCAUGCAGGGGACAUCCUGAAGUUCUUGAAAAAGAAGAAACCUGAAGAUGCCUUCUGUGUUGUGGGAAUAACAAUGAUUGAUCUUUACCCAAGAGACUUGUGGAAUUUUGUCUUUGGACAGGCCUCUUUGACAGAUGGCACUGGUGAGGUGGAUUGAUGAUGAAUCUUCUGGCACACCUGGAGCAACUCCAGAACACAGUCGUGAGGAUAAUGGGAAUUUACUGAAACCCGUGGAAGGAAGCCUUUAAGGAAUGGAAAGAGUGGAUAAUAAAAUGCCUGACUGUUCUCCAAAAAUAAGGACCUUCAAAUAGGAGUGAUUGAAAUAAAUGACUACUUGCAUGUUAUGCUUUCAUUUGGGUGGAAUACUUCAUCAGAAUAAACUAUUGAUCUUGUGCUGUGUCAAAGUAACAGACUAGAACCUUCUUUCAAGUACCUGAAUUGAAAUGAAACUCAUUUUGAAUAAUAAAAACUCUAGAAACUCUUUAUCUUCUCA